AAUCCUUCCUUUUUAUCCACAUAUUGCUCCCAGUAGAGUCCUUGAAUGUACUUGGAGGCUGAGUUUCACAAACCUAGCAUUCUGCUGCACUUAGCAACAGUAAGUUCAACAGCACAAUUGUGUAUUUGUUCUCCUUUAGCUGCUGCACUCUCUUUGUUUCUCUCCUGCUCCCCGGAAUUGUAUCCCUAAUAAAGUGCAAGUGAAUAGCUCCAGAAGCCUCAGCUCUGCUUUCUGCUGAACCCAAGUUAUAAAUGAUGUGAACAUGGAAAAGCUCUAAGGCAGCCUAGGAAAAGGCAGACAAGAAACCAUCAUGAAUGGAUACUGCAUGAGCAGAGAUUGUCAAGAAAACGGGAUGGUAAUUUGCAUAGGUCCACAAGGCGAACAUUGAUUUGAAGUGUUCCUGUGAAUGGCCAAUAGACAGGACAUACAAACAGACAGUAAAUCAUAAAGUGAAGAAUGGUGUCUAAGAUGGAGUAUGAGCCUGGGGAAGUACAUAAAAUAAUGCCAUGUCAAGGUCAUAAGAACUUUGACAGUCAGGGAGAUGUCAAAUAGAAAACUGAUUCAUAAAUCCUGAAAUAAAAUAUUACUACCUAAACUCUAAAUCAGAUGGCCACCAGGUCAAAAAUAAAUUACAAGGUGAAUCUAAUGUAGAUAUAUAAUUAAAAAUUGGCCAUGUCGAUGAGGCAAGAAAUUUUAGCAAUUACAGAAAUGAAGGUGUCAGGGCUCAGAAAACGACAUGCCAAAUUAUGGCACUUUAGUGUGCUGAGUACUCUGAACUAAAGGAGAUUGGAAAGCCUCAGAAGCAAAGCCGCUCUAUCUCCCACCUUUCUGUGUAGGUGUAUAGUAGAUGCAUCUGACAGCAACAAUUUAAGCAUACCCUGAGAAAGACCCUCAAGUCUAAGAAGAAUGUGUGUUUGGAGCUCUGAGCUAAGAAAUCCAGGAGUGGCAAACCUAGAGAUUCUCUCCUUGUCUGUGAAGGACAUACGAACCCCCUGGCCCAUGCCUUGGAAUGCAGGCCAUACAGGGGAUUAAGGUCCUUUGUUUUGGGUUAUAUGGAGGUUGCUAGGUGGAAGGUGGUAGCAGUUUUUCGGUCCGGCCCACCACCACUGGACUGCCCCAUAUGUAAGUCUUCAAUAAACCCUAUGUGUGUUUUGCUGGUUCCAGAUCUCCUCUAUUCUUCUGCCUCUAGGACAUGAUGCUAUCCCUGUUGGAGUCAGUAGGGGUCUGGCACAACAGUAGGAGAUGGCCAUAAAGAAAUUCUCUGACCUACCUUGUCUGACAGUAAGUCAUAAGAUCCUCAUUCCAGAGGGGUCCUGGGAGAAAGGAAUGCUACACAGAGGUCAAGGAGAAGCCAAACAGGGGUAUUAUCCCACUCUGUAGUUUAGCAUCACAAUUAAUUUAAGUGAGGUUAAAGAAACACCAUGUUUUUCAUGUUCUUGACACCCCAUAGCCCUAGUCCUUCUUUUCAGAACUGUGUUAACAACAAAGUUAUUCUGCCACCUAAAGAGCAAGUCUCCUUUUCAAAUUUAAACUGUAGGCUGUUGUUUCUUCUAUCUCUCUAUGCUUAUUAUUUCUAACUGUCUGACCUGGAGCCCCAUAGCCUUGGACUAGCCAAGCGCUGACUCAGGAAAGGGAAACAAGAACAGGAGGCCUGAGUUUUCCCAGGAGCAGAAAGCACUGAAGAUUAGAAAGGCCUUUGUCAUCUUUGUUAUGUGUAAUUUGACUAAAACUACUUAAAUAAAAAAGAACUGGGGACUUCA